UCGUCUGACACGUUGACGGUGGUUGGCUACUUGUACUUGGUCUUCAUGUUAUGUAAGAAAGGAUCCCAACUGGGCAGAUUGAGUGGCGAUUUCAUCAAGAGUUGUGACGAGCCUGGAUUUCUAAAGGGCGAUAAGUUUUUCGAACACAAGCGCCUUUUCUGGGUAAAUUCGAGGAACGUUAAGAUGAAACAGAUUUGGAUAGAGACGGACUACUUUAGGGUUAAUCUUGGCCUUAUUGCACCGAUCGUAGGAACCGUGACGACAAACUUGAUUGUGUUGAUGCAGUUUCAGAACAGCGACAAGACAUGAAAAAUUUAGACAAAAAUUCAAAUAAAAAAAAUUAUUAUCGCAUAAUACCUUAGUUACUUUAGAAGGCAAAGAUUUUAGCCUAGUCUUGUAUUUAUUUUACUUGAGCCUAUUAAUCAUUUCAAUUGUUAAGUCACUAUGAUACGAGUAAUUCCAAAGCAAAAUGUAAAUCCAUUAAUGUAAUGAAACAUUUCAAUUAUUAAAGUCUAUGUCUCGCCAAA